UACAGAGGUCCCAAGCGUUGUUCGGAUUCACUGGGCGUAAAGGGUGCGUAGGUGGCAAGGUAAGUUUGAUGUGAAAUCUUCGAGCUCAACUCGGAAACUGCAUUGAAUACUAUCUUGCUUGAGGGAUUGGAGGGGAGGCUGGAAUUCUCGGUGUAGCAGUGAAAUGCGUAGAUAUCGAGAGGAACACCAGUGGCGAAGGCGAGUCUCUAGACAACUCCUGACACUGAGGCACGAAAGCUAGGGGAGCAAACAGG
rnacentral:rRNA from 1 species